GCCCCUGGCAUUGGCUGAUCCAAGAGGAUAAGAGAUUUGUGGAGCAGACCUAGACCCAACCAGGAGCCUGGAGCCAAGACCAGCAGAGCCCAGCUGCCACAAUUGACCUGCAGUACUGCUGCUCCAGGCUGGCAUGUGGGAAUUCUCUCCUAACUCUUCAAGUUUUGCCAGCAUAGUGAAGCCGGCAUCUUCUCUAAUCUGAGACCCCCUGCUCCUUCAGGACCUGCCCCACUGGGGACAAGAAUGAACACGCUGUGUUGUAUGACAGUGAACCACCAAGAAAUACAAAGAAUGUGUGUUGAGGAGCCCAGAGUUAACACUGCAUAG
rnacentral:lncRNA from 1 species